GGGGGGGGGGGGGGGCGGGGCUGGCGGAGGCGGGGCGGGCGAGGGCGGCGGGUCGGGUGGCGCGCGGGUGCGUCACGCGUGGGAACCUGCCCUUAGGUUCGGAAUAACUCCCCGCAAGGGGUGCUAAUACCGGAUCAUGUCUUCGGACCACAGAUUUAUCGCCUUUGGAUGGGCCCGCGUUGGAUUAGCUAGUUGUUAGGGUAACAGCCUACCCCGGCGACGAUCCAUAUCUGGGCUGAGAGACUGAUCAGCCACACUGGGACUGAGACACGGCCCAGACUCCUACGGGAGGCAGCAGUGGGGAAUAUUGGACAAUGGGCGAAAGCCUGAUCCAGCAAUGCCGCGUGAGUGAUGAAGGCCUUAGGGUUGUAAAGCUCUUUUACCCGGGAUGAUAAUGACAGUACCGGGAGAAUAAGCGCCGGCUAACUCCGUG
rnacentral:rRNA from 1 species